CGCUAGCCGCGGGGUCGGGGCCGGAACUGUGAGCUGGGACGUGAGUUCCAGCCAGGCCCUAUUUGGUGUCUCACUUACUCAUUCUCCCCCCGCCGCGCCGUUACCAAGGUAAUGGAGUCGUUGGAGAAGCAAGGAGCCCGGGGCAAGAUGAUGCUCUCCCGGGCCAAGCCGGCCGUGGGGGGCGCCCCACCGCAGGGUGACAAACGGAAGAAGAAAGGCAAGAAAGUCCCGCCGCUGGAGGAGCUGCUGGCCUAGAGGGAUUUCACCGGCGCCAUCGCCCUGCUGGAGUUUAAACGGCAUGUGGGGGAACAAGAUGAGGACACUGGCCUCUGGAUUGGAUACUGUGCCUUUCACCUGGGGGACUACAAGAGAGCAUUGGAGGU